rnacentral:lncRNA from 1 species
GUCUUCUCUUCCAGGUGUAUGUCUUCUCUCUCAGAGUGGUAUGUCUUCUAUAUAGGUGUAUGUCAGUCUCUCGGCGGUAUGUCUUCUCCAUCCAGGUGUGUGUAUGUCUCUCUCUUUCAGGGUAUGUCUUCUCUCUCAGGUGUAUGUCUUCUCUCUCAGGUGUAUGUCUUCUUCUCAGUGUCUCUACAGGGUAUGUCCUCUCUUCAGGUUCGUAUGUCUUCUCUCAGGUGUAUGUCCUCUCUCAGGUGUAUGUCUUCUCUCUCAGGUGUAUGUCUUCUCUCUCAGGUGUGUGAUGUCUUCUCUCCCAGGUGUGUGUCAUGUCUUCCC